rnacentral:rRNA from 1 species
UACGUAGGGUGCGAGCGUUUAAUCGGAAUUACUGGGCGUAAAGCGUGCGCAGGCGGUUCGUUGUGUCGGCGGUGAAAGCCCCGGGCUUAACCUGGGAAUGGCCGUUGAAACUGGCGAACUGGAGUGUGGCAGAGGAGACUGGAAUUCCUGGUGUAGCAGUGAAAUGCGUAGAUAUCAGGAGGAACACCGAUGGCGAAGGCAGGUCUCUGGGCUGACACUGACGCUCAUGCACGAAAGCGUGGGGAGCAAACAGG